GUGGGGAAUCUUGCGCAAUGGGCGAAAGCCUGACGCAGCCAUGCCGCGUGAAUGAUGAAGGUCUUAGGAUUGUAAAAUUCUUUCACCGGGGACGAUAAUGACGGUACCCGGAGAAGAAGCUCCGGCUAACUUCGUGCCAGCAGCCGCGGUAAUACGAAGGGGGCUAGCGUUGCUCGGAAUUACUGGGCGUAAAGGGCGCGUAGGCGGACAGCUUAGUCAGAGGUGAAAGCCCAGGGCUCAACCUUGGAAUUGCCUUUGAUACUGGCUGUCUUGAGUUUGGGAGAUGUGAGUGGAACUCCGAGUGUAGAGGUGAAAUUCGUAGAUAUUCGGAAGAACACCAGUGGCGAAGGCGACUCACUGGCCCGUUACUGACGCUGAGGCGCGAAAGCGUGGGGAGCAAACAGGAUUAGAUACCCGGGUAGUCC
rnacentral:rRNA from 1 species